CGGCACUGCAAGUAUGGCUGGUCCUGUGCCUGCGGUCCACUGCCACCUUGGCCUACCACGCUGGCGCCAGAAACUCUGCCGCUGCAUCCUCCAGGCUGUACUGGGAAAGUCGGCACAAAAACUCAUGCUCCGACACAAGAUUCAGCUAGGAGGUAAAACUAAAUGUGAUCAGAAACCUUAGUGCUGAUAAAGAGAUAUAUUGAACCCUGCCUGGCCCAGUGAGAUUACUAGAAAAUUGGUGGAGGCAUAGAUCAGCAUCCUGAAUGUGGCUGUCAGAUUGUGAAGUCUUGAUUGAAUUGUGAAUGAUAUCUGUGAAAAGCAUUUUAGUUGAGUGCAGAAGACCUUCCACUUGAGUGAGCAUGCAGAAGAGUGACUUAAGCUUUUCUCUGCUGCCUAUUAAAGUGGAAGUUACUGUGCUGGCUGAUAAGGAUAUAGAGACAUGGAGACACUGUCUGUGUCCUGAAGGAUUUCUCAAUCUAGUGAGAGAUAUGCAUGUACACAGAUAAUUCUAACAAUAUGGUAUGUUCCACGAUGGAGGUAUGUACAGUUCCCUGUGGGAUGCAGAAUGAAAAACCAUUUGAUUUCUGGUGAUGUUGAAGAUCAGAGUAACAGAUACUUGCAUUGACCAGUCUACACAUAGAAAAUAAAGCCAUGGCUGUUGUAAAUACAGUCAUGAGUAGGAGGACAUUCUAAGUAGUUUGUGUAAAGUUACAAAUGUAAAGUGGGAGUGGUAUUAUGAAACUGAGAUUUUAUUCUGAGUGCUUUAAGAAAGGAAUGCUUUAGAUGAUCGUUGUAGCAGUUAUAUGGAAUAUGUCUUAAAUUGUUUUCAUGUUUGGAUUAGGAGAUCACCUAGAAAAAUAGUGUACUAGUUACAAUGAUAAAUGAGGCUGGCAAAUAAAUAUAUGCCCCCUCCUCCCACCAUGGCUCUCAUGUUAAUUGUUUGGCUGCUGCUGUUCCUUCUGGAACAGCAAUGGUCUGAAAAGAUUUUGCACAAUUUUUCUCAGGUGGGUGGCAGCUGUAUAUGAAAUGUGGAUUUUCAGGAAGACAUCUGAAAAGCGUUACUAAUUCCCUGGUCGUUUUCAUUAAUGGUAGGCCUACUCUUACCAUCAUGUGUGCCUCCCAAAGGGUUUUCUUUGACAAAAAGAGGAGGUGUUUAUAUAUAAACCCCAUUUAAAGAAGAAAUGGCCUUAGUUAUCAUCUCAGCUGCUUUAUUUUGUUUAUUUUCUUUAUGGUUGUACUUCCACUUAAGAGAUAUGUUCUAUAGUUUAAAGUCUAUAAUUAUAUCUGGAACUUUUCCUCAAAGCAAUAUAACCAUUAUUCUUAGGAAGAUUCUCCAUUUAAGGCUUAAAUUGUGGCCUUGGAGAUUUUGACAAUAAUUUUCUGCAAGUAGAAUGAUGAUAUAUUUAAGUAGAACAGGGUGUUCCACUGAACUGUAUGUAUAAGUAGCCAUCCUGGAAGGGACAGUGGUAGGGGUGGGGAUGGAGAGGGGUGGCUUCCUAAAGGAAACCCUGAGCAAGAAAACAAGACAGUACAGUGAGAGUUUGUACUUACGGAAUAGAUCACCUGAACUGAAAUCUGCUCUUACACAACCAGUGUGAUCAUGAACACGAUUUUCAUCUCUGAAUUUGUUUCUUUUUGUGUUAAAUAAGGAUAAUUAUAAUACUUGUUUGCAAUAACUUAAGUAAGGAUUUAAUGAGAUUACUUAUAUAAAUUGCUUAGAACAUGUCUGGAAUAUGCUAAGUGCUGUACCAAGUAUAGUUGCUUCUUUUGUUAACCAUGACAAGAAUUUAGAAGACAGUUAAGUAGAGUUGCUCAUGUUUCAUCUGGUCAGUGAUGAUGUUGAGGUUCAAGAAAGAAGAAACAUUAACCUCAGGAGUUUUCAGUGGUGUAAGGUUACUUAAUCACUUUUUUAUUCCCCUAUACCAAAUAGAUUGGGGAAUAAUAUAAAUCAUUUUGUGCAUGUCCUGUUCACUAAUGUAUUGCCUUUGCUCUUAUUUUUAAAUAGGACAGCUGUUGAAAAGUUGUGUUAUACCUGAAUAAAGAUUAUCCUAAAAUGUAGGAAAAUGCUUUGGAGUUGUUUAAAGCUGAAUUUGAAACCUCAUUCAACUAACUAGCUGUGUGAUCUAAGGCAUGUUGUAUAACCUCAUUGAACCUCAGUUUCCUCAUCUAAUUAUAAUCAUUUGCUGGGUUUCCAUGAAUAUGUUUGUAAUGUAAAGUAUAUGUGAUAAGUACUCUGUAAGUUACAGCAGUCAUUGUUAGUUUGUGGGAUACUCACCAAGUGACAAACAACAGGCCUGGUGGCUUGGAGGACAUCAUCGAUCCAACAGCAACCUGCAGUGGUACUCCUCUGAAGAAAUCCUACUCGGAUGGAUAUAAUACAACCUGCUAAGUGUCCUAGCACUUAUCAGGUUGUAUUAUCAUUGUCCGUGUUUAUGGCUCUCGUCUACCAGACUAAAUUCCUUAAAGGCAAGGACAGUGCCUUAUUCAUCUUUGUAUUCACGGUGCCUAAUCCAGUGCACAUUGUAGGCCUCAUUAAAUGUUUGUUGAAUGAAAAACUGAAUCAUCAACAGACAUUAAUUGGGCGCCUGCUUUGUGAUCUCCAUGGGAUCAGCAUGUCCCUGCCAGUUGUCUACAUCGUCCAGUCCAAGCUGUCUUCAAUAUGCUUUCCUACUGAAGCUUACUCCUAUCUUCUAAUUCAUUUGCUGAUGAAUUUUCUGUAUAGUGCAAAGAUUUAAAUGUGAUUCAUCUCAAGUACCAUCUCCAAUUGACUGUUAGUGCUUGCUUUUCUUAUAUUUUUUAUAAAAUGGAUUGUGAAACCAGGUCUCAACUCUGUAUGAAGUAAUUAUAAACAAUUAUUGAGGUUUGCUGAGGGUGUCAGAAGUGAGAGUAGCAGCACCUGUAUACCAUAUGUCACUUUAUAUUGUAUUUUACAUGAAAUACUCUUUCUAUGAAAACAUUUUUUAGUCUUGACUACUUGCAGAUGUUGAAUGGCUGUUGCUGCUACUACAAUUGCUGCCAGUUGUUCCCUGGGUAGGACCAGAAUGAUCAUUGAUCAGAAAUUGCAUCCUCAUAUUCUGGGCGUUACUUCUGUGGCUGGCAUCCGUAGUUUUCCCCUUGUAACUAUCUCAGCUGUCCUCUUACCUUCAUCAACAGGUGUUUGUCUGAAGUAAUUCCAGUACCUGAAGGGGUAAAAGGAAAAAUCCAGGUGAUGAAGAGUGAGGCCUUCUGAAUGAAGAUAAUUGAAAAGAUCAUGGAUUUGGCUGGAUUAGACAGGACUUGAUUUUUCAAAACAUACUAAAAGUGAAUGAUAUUUUUCUUUGAUGAAGAAUAACAUGAUCAUUUUUUAAAAGUGAAUGUAUAGAUUUAAAAGUUUAGAAUACUGAUAUUCUUACUUAUCUGUCUUAGCUCUCUUUUAAAAGGAUUGUGUCCUCUAACUUUUUUGUUGGAAAAUAAGCAUAUUUCCAUAAAAUUAAAACUCUUGAAAAUACAGUAUUGUUAGGAUAUUUCAUAUGGAUCUAACAAAUUAGAACAGUUUGUAUAUUAUUAAUUUUGCCUGUAAUAUUUUAAUAUAAUGGAUAUCAUUGUAUAGUAAUCUUCACAUCUCUUUGUUAAUUUGUUUAUAAUAUAUUCUUAGAAUUGGAAUUACUAAGUUAGUCUGAUGAGAGCUUCAUUAAGACUCAACUGUGCAAAUUAAAUACCUGUUAACUGUGGUCUGGGAGGUGGUGCAGUGGUUAAGACACUAGACUCUCAAGCAUGAGGUCCUGAGUUUGAUCCCCGGCAGCACAUGUACCAGAGUGAUGGCUGGUUCUUUCUCUCCUAUCUUUUUCAUGAAUAAAUAAAUAAUUUAAAAAUAUG